AGUGAACGCUGGCGGUAGGCCUAACACAUGCAAGUCGAACGGCAGCACAGGAGAGCUUGCUCUCUGGGUGGCGAGUGGCGGACGGGUGAGGAAUACAUCGGAAUCUACUCUGUCGUGGGGGAUAACGUAGGGAGACUUACGCUAAUACCGCAUACGACCUACGGGUGAAAGCAGGGGACCUUCGGGCCUUGCGCGAUUGAAUGAGCCGAUGUCGGAUUAGCUAGUUGGCGGGGUAAAGGCCCACCAAGGCGACGAUCCGUAGCUGGUCUGAGAGGAUGAUCAGCCACACUGGAACUGAGACACGGUCCAGACUCCUACGGGAGGCAGCAGUGGGGAGUAUUGGACAAUGGGCGCAAGCCUGAUCCAGCCAUACCGCGUGGGUGAAGAAGGCCUUCGGGUUGUAAAGCCCUUUUGUUGGGAAAGAAAUCCAGCUGGCUAAUACCCGGUUGGGAUGACGGUACCCAAAGAAUAAGCACCGGCUAACUUCGUGCCAGCAGCCGCGGUAA
rnacentral:rRNA from 1 species